CAGCUUGCUGGGUGGAUUAGUGGCGAACGGGUGAGUAAUACGUGAGUAACCUGCCUUUAACUCUGGGAUAAGCCUUGGAAACGAGGUCUAAUACCGGAUACGACCAGUUCCCGCAUGGGAUGCUGGUGGAAAGGGAUAUGUACUGGUUUUAGAUGGGCUCACGGCCUAUCAGCUUGUUGGUGAGGUAACGGCUCACCAAGGCGACGACGGGUAGCCGGCCUGAGAGGGUGACCGGCCACACUGGGACUGAGACACGGCCCAGACUCCUACGGGAGGCAGCAGUGGGGAAUAUUGCACAAUGGGCGCAAGCCUGAUGCAGCGACGCCGCGUGAGGGAUGACGGCCUUCGGGUUGUAAACCUCUUUCAGCAGGGAAGAAGCGAAAGUGACGGUACCUGCAGAAGAAGCGCCGGCUAACUACGUGCCAGCAGCCGCGGUAAUACGUAGGGCGCGAGCGUUGUCCGGAAUUAUUGGGCGUAAAGAGCUUGUAGGCGGUUUGUCGCGUCUGCUGUGAAAGCCCGGGGCUUAACCCCGGGUUUGCAGUGGGUACGGGCUAACUAGAGUGCAGUAGGGGAGACUGGAAUUCCUGGUGUAGCGGUGAAAUGCGCAGAUAUCAGGAGGAACACCAAUGGCGAAGGCAGGUCUCUGGGCUGUAACUGACGCUGAGAAGCGAAAGCAUGGGGAGCAAACAGGAUUAGAUACCCUGGUAGUCCAUGCCGUAAACGUUGGGCACUAGGUGUGGGGGACAUUCCACGUUUUCCGCGCCGUAGCUAACGCAUUAAGUGCCCCGCCUGGGGAGUACGGCCGCAAGGCUAAAACUCAAAGAAAUUGACGGGGGCCCGCACAAGCGGCGGAGCAUGCGGAUUAAUUCGAUGCAACGCGAAGAACCUUACCAAGGCUUGACAUAUACUGGACCGCUCU
rnacentral:rRNA from 1 species